GACAGAGGCCUCAAGCGUUAGGCGGAAUCACUGGGCUUAAAGCGUGUGUAGGCGGAUCGUUAAGUGUCUUGUGAAAUCCCACGGCUCACCCGUGGAACUGCUGGGCAUACUGGCGAUCUUGGGCCAACUAGGGGCAACUGGAACAAGCGGUGGAGCGGUGAAAUGCGUAGAUAUCGCUUGGAACGCCAAAGGGUGAAAACAGGGUUGCUGGGGGUUGUGCCG
rnacentral:rRNA from 1 species